GCCGAAGUGGUGGAAUUGGUAGACACGCAUGCUUGAGGGGCAUGUGGGGGAAACCCUGUGCCGGUUCGAGUCCGGCCUUCGGUACAA
rnacentral:tRNA from 1 species